UUCUCUGAUUCUAUAUCCUAUUUUCUAC
rnacentral:snRNA from 1 species